UUUGACCUACGGGAGGCAGCAGUGGGGAAUAUUGGGCAAUGGGCGCAAGCCUGACCCAGCAACGCCGCGUGAAGGAAGAAGGCUUUCGGGUUGUAAACUUCUUUUCUCAGGGACGAAGCAGGUGACGGUACCUGAGGAAUAAGCCACGGCUAACUACGUGCCAGCAGCCGCGGUAAUACGUAGGUGGCAAGCGUUAUCCGGAUUUAUUGGAUGUAAAGGGCGUGUAGGCGGGAAUGCAAGUCAGAUGUGAAAACUAUGGGCUCAACCCAUAGCCUGCAUUUGAAACUGUAUUUCUUGAGUGCUGG
rnacentral:rRNA from 1 species